rnacentral:rRNA from 1 species
UACGGGGGGGCAAGCGUUGUUCGGAAUUACUGGGCGUAAAGGGCGCGUAGGCGGCGCGGUAAGUCACUUGUGAAAUCUCUGAGCUUAACUCAGAACGGCCAAGUGAUACUGCAGUGCUAGAGUGCAGAAGGGGCAACCGGAAUUCUUGGUGUAGCGGUGAAAUGCGUAGAUAUCAAGAGGAACACCUGAGGUGAAGACGGGUUGCUGGGCUGACACUGACGCUGGAGGCGCGAAAGCUAGGGUAGCAAACGGG